AAUGUGGAAAGAGAAAAGGUGAUCAAAGGGAAACACCAUGUUCAAGAUGAUGUUUAAGAUAGCUGAGAUGCUUCCAUUUCUUCUUCUACCCUUGCUUCUGGAUCUGAAGAAUUGUGUGACCUAAUUUGAACCUAAUCCUGUCUACGGAAUCCCUUGGCUAAUAAUUAGGGAUGGUUUGAAUUCAAUUGGGCUAUCGAGUCAACUAAAUGCAGAAGUUAGAACCCAUUAUUUUGAAAGAUACUGCCAUUUAUAACUUCUAGCCACAGAAUUCUACAACAGGUUUUGUUCAUUAGCGUAAUUAUCCAAGGUGAUUCAAAGUCAUUUCCACUAUAGUCAUUCCUGAGCCAUCUUGAGAGGGCGAUCACUGCGGCAGAGGAAUCCAAAGAAACUGACCCUUACCUUGAAGUGAAAACCUGAGGAUGCGAAUCCACGUCUCUGGGGUCGAAAAGGUCACAAACAGAAAACCUGCUGCACUUCUGAGUCUUCACAGAUUUCAGUGAUUUGGUCCAAAUCCAGAAACCAUCUUGAGACAAUAAAAAGGCUGCUGAAUGGGAACCAAGCAGGACGGCUCAACUCUCACCGAGGUUCUCACACACAGUGACAGCUACCAGCGUCCAAAGUGCUGACAUUACGACUUAGAGAUGUGAUAAAGAGCAACAUGUACUGCAUUUUCUGUAAGUAAAUGUGGUUCCAGCCUGGAGAGAACGGACGUAAUCAGAUACCUGCUCUCCUUGAGUUUCUUAAUUUAAGCAUCGUGGUUCCUAAUUAGCAGUUAGAUUGCAUCCAUUGUUAUUUCAUCUUUGGUUAUCAAUGAUGAUCAACCUUUGCUAAACAAAGAUAUGUAAUCAUGUUAGGGACACUCAUGGAUUUUUUUUUAAGGGCUUUAACAUUUGAUAAUAGGUUUUCCAAUAGCUUGAAGGGUAGCUUUUAACAUUUCUUUUCCAGCUGAAGUAUUUCCUGAGUUCUGUCCAAGCCCUCUAUAGUUAAAGAAAAGGCUUUUUGACACUUAAUAGACAAUGUUGUGGCUUUUUUUCCUCUUCAGACAAAUGUAGAGGCAUUUAAACAGCCACAUUGUACUAUCGUAAUUGAGACACCUUGCAGCAAUGGCAAUUAUAGGGUGACUAGUGUCAAAAAUAUUCAGAAUAAAUUGCAUUUUAUCUGAUUUUUUAAAACUUUC
rnacentral:lncRNA from 1 species